rnacentral:rRNA from 1 species
AUUGAACGCUGGCGGCAGGCCUAACACAUGCAAGUCGAACGGUAACAGGAAGAAGCUUGCUUCUUUGCUGACGAGUGGCGGACGGGUGAGUGAUGUCUGGGGAACUGCCUGAUGGAGGGGGAGAACUACUGGAAACGGUAGCUAAUACCGCAUAACGGCGCAAGACCAAAGAGGGGGACCUUUGGGCCUCUUGCCAUCGGGUGUGCCCAGAUGGGAUUUGCUAGUGGGUGGGGUAACGGCUCACCCAGGCGACGAUCCCUAGCUGGUCUGAGAGGAUGAGCAGCCACACUGGAACUGAGACACGGUCCAGACUCCUACGGGAGGCAGCAGUGGGGAAUAUUGCACAAUGGGCGCAAGCCUGAUGCAGCCAUGCCGCGUGUAUGAAGAAGGCCUUCGGGUUGUAAAGUACUUUCAGCGGGGAGGAAGGGAGUAAAGUUAAUACCUUUACUCAUUGACGUUACCCGAAGAAGAAGCACCGGCUAACUCCGUG